AUACAGAGGGUGCGAGCGUUAAUCGGAAUUACUAGGCGUAAAGCGCGCGUAGGCGGCUACUUAAGUCAGAUGUGAAAUCCCCGGGCUCAACCUGGGAACUGCAUCUGAUACUGGGUAGCUAGAGUUUUGGAGAGGGAAGUAGAAUUUCAGGUGUAGCGGUGAAAUGCAUAGAGAUCUGAAGGAAUACCAGUGGCGAAGGCGACUUCCUGGCCAAAAACUGACGCUGAGGUGCGAAAGCGUGGGUAGCAAACGGGAUUAGAAACCCUAGUAGUCC
rnacentral:rRNA from 1 species